AGCUUUAUAGUCAAUAAAUGAUUUAAAAUUGCAAAUUUUAAGGAAUAAAUUUCAAUUUAUUAAGGCUU
rnacentral:tRNA from 1 species